rnacentral:rRNA from 1 species
CCUACGGGUGGCAGCAGUGAGGAAUAUUGGUCAAUGGCCGAGAGGCUGAACCAGCCAAGUCGCGUGAGGGAAGACGGCCCUACGGGUUGUAAACCUCUUUUGUCGGGGAGCAAAGCGAGUCACGUGUGACUCAUUGAGAGUACCCGAAGAAAAAGCAUCGGCUAACUCCGUGCCAGCAGCCGCGGGAAUACGGAGGAUGCGAGCGUUAUCCGGAUUUAUUGGGUUUAAAGGGUGCGCAGGCGGGGGUGCAAGUCCGCGGUCAAAUUUCGGGACUCAACCCCGUCAGGCGGUUGAAACUGCAUCCCGUGAGUGAGCGAGAAGUAUGCGGAAUGCGUGGUGUAGCGGUGAAAUGCAUAGAUAGCACGCAGAACUCCGAUUGCGAAGGCAGCAUACCGGCGCGCAACUGACGCGCAUGCACGAAAGCGUGGGUAUCGAACAGGAUUAGAUACCCGGGUAGUC